rnacentral:tRNA from 1 species
GUGGUAGUAUAGCCCGGCCUAGUAUGUGCGGCUGUCACCCGCACGACGCGGGUUCAAAUCCCGCCCAGGGCGCCA